rnacentral:tRNA from 1 species
GACUGGAUAGCUCAGUUGGUAGAGCAUGAGACUCUUAAUUUCAGGGUUGUGGGAUCGAGCCCCACGUUGGGCA